AUGAACUCCAGUAAAUUUUAUGUCCCAGUUGGUUUGGUCACAUGACAGAGGAGUAAUGUGAGCGGAGUUGAUCAGGUUUGGUCACGCUUGAAGAAGUUCGCAUGCUUAAAGGAAUACUGAUGUACUUUCGUCACAAUGGCUGCAAUAGCACUCAAGUUAAACAAGGCUGGAACGAUGCUUACCUGUCCUCACCUGUUAAUCAAACGAUUUCUUACUCCAAAAUCUCUACUCCUGUCUCUUAAAGCGGGUCCCCAAUACAAACUAUUGCCAUUUAAUUUUCGAUUCUAUUCAACAAGUCGAUGUUUACACCAUUCCUCUCCACCUGGUUAUAUUGACACAUACGAAGAAAACUUUAAGCAAGCCCUGCAAGAUCCAACCACAUUCUGGGCUAAAGCGGCCGAAGAUUUAGUCUGGCAUAAAAAAUGGCACCAGGUCCUCGAUAACUCGAACCCACCCUGGACUCAGUGGUUUGUGGGUGGAGAAUUUAAUACAACUUACAAUGCCCUUGAUCGUCAUGUGGAAAAUGGACUUGGAGAAAGGGUGGCCUUGGUUCAUGAUAGUCCAGUCACUGGUCAAAUUCAAAAGAUCACUUAUUCUCAGCUUUUGGAUGAGGUGAAACAUUUUGCUGGAGUUCUAAGAAAACAUGGUGUUCAGAAAGGAGAUCGUGUCCUGAUCUACAUGCCAGCCAUUCCUCAAGCUAUUGUAACUAUGUUGGCAGCAGCCAGAAUUGGAGCCAUUCAUGCUGUAGUGUUUGGCGGAUUUGGUGCCAAAGAACUUUCCAACAGAAUUGAACAUGCAAAACCCAAAGUCAUUGUCAGCUCAAACUGUGGCAUUGAACCAACCAGGAUUGUUGAAUAUAAACCAAUUUUAGAUGAAGCAUUAGAACUAAUCAGCCAUAAACCGAAAAAAUGCAUUAUUUUCAACAGACCCCAGGCAGAAAAGGCAAAGUUUAAGAAUGGCCUUGAUGUAUGUUACAUGGAAGAACUUUCUUCUGCCUCACCAACAGAUUGUGUACCAGUGCCAGCAAUGGAUCCCCUGUACAUUCUACAUACAUCUGGAACCACUGGAUUACCUAAGGCCAUUGUACGUCCAAAUGCUGGCCAUGCUGUAGCACUGAAGUGGGCCAUUCAAAAUGUUUAUGGUAUCAAACCAGGGGAGGUCUGGUGGGCAGCCUCUGAUCUUGGUUGGGUCGUUGGUCACUCUUUCAUUGCUUAUGGUCCUUUACUUAAUGCAAACACGUCUAUUUUAUUCGAGGGCAAACCAGUCGGCACCCCCGAUGCCAGUGCCUAUUUCCGAGUUCUGAAGGACCAUGAAGUGGCUGGCAUGUUUGUUGCACCAACAGCUUUGCGUGCAAUUAUAAAAGAGGACAAUGAAGGAAAGCACGCUGAGAAAUAUUUCCCAUUUUCCAAGCUGAAGGCUAUGUACGUGGCUGGGGAGCAUUGCGAUAAGACGACCAUGCAAUGGACCAAGAGUAUUGUACAGAAACCAGUUUUGGACAAUUGGUGGCAAACAGAAACAUCUUGGCCAGCAUUAGCUUCUUGUUAUGGUCUUGGAAUGAAUAUGGAGCCAUCCGUUGGUGUAUCUGGAAAACCUGUUCCUGGUUGGAAUGUCAAAAUAAUGGCCCCAAAAUCUUUACAAGAAACUAAAAUUGGCGAUCUGGGCCAAAUUGUUAUCAAGCUUCCUCUCCCUCCUGGAGCAUUUAUUUCUCUUUGGGAAAACAAUGAAGGAUAUAAGAAGAUAUAUUUCAGAAAGUAUCCGGGUUACUAUGACACAAUGGAUUCUGGUGUGUGUGACAGGGAUGGAUACAUCUCUGUCUUGACAAGAACUGAUGAUGUCAUCAAUGUGGCAGGGCAUCGACUCUCAACAGGUGCUUUGGAAGAGGCAAUUAUGCAAAAUAGUGCUGUGGCUGAUGCGGUUGUUAUUGGUGUCCCUGAUGACCUGAAAGGUCAAGUACCUUUAGGAUUGUGCGUCCUGAAGUCAGGUUUGACCAAGAAUGCAAAUGAAAUUAUAGAAGACGUUAUACAAAUUGUGCGAGUGAGCAUCGGUCCAGUUGCUUAUUUUAAACAAGCAGUCAUAGUGCCAGCGUUACCGAAAACCAGAUCAGGAAAAACUGCUCGCAACACAAUCGCAGCUUUGGCAGCUGGAAAGGAAUUUAAGAUUCCACCGACAAUUGAAGAUCCAAAUGUGUACAGUGCCAUCAGGGAAGCUCUGCAAUCGAUUGGAUUUGCAAAAACGGUUAAUGUCACUGGAAGCAAUUAAAGCCUUGAAUCAACGGAAAUAAUUCGAUAUUAGAUUUAUUUUUAUAUCAUUGAUUGGACAGAAGCUAUGUAAUAUACACGAUGAUAUAUAUUAUAAUAAUAUGUUUUACAUCUAAAAUAAUAUUCGGAUUCCUUACAGUCAGAAAAAGAAUGUGUGUGUGUGUGUGUGUGUGUGUGUGUGUAUAUAUAUAUAUAUA
rnacentral:misc_RNA from 1 species